UGCUACAGUCAUUAUCUUCACAGGCGAAAGAGCUUUACGACCCUAAGGCCUUCUUCACUCACGCGGCAUGGCUAGAUCAGGCUUGCGCCCAUUGUCUAAGAUUCCCCACUGCUGCCUCCCGUAGGAGUA
rnacentral:rRNA from 1 species